GAGGGUAUAGCUAAAUGGUAGAGUAUAUGCCUAGCACGCAUGACGUUCUGGGUUCACUUCCCAGUACCUCCA
rnacentral:tRNA from 1 species